rnacentral:lncRNA from 1 species
UCUGACUGCCAGAACAAAUUACCACCAACUUGGUGGCUUAAUACAACAGAAAGGUAUACUCUCACAGUUUGGAUUAUUAGAAGUAUAAAAGCAAGGUGUUGACAGAAUUGGUUCUUUCUGGACGGUUUGAUGGGAAAUUAGGUCUGUAUCUUUCUUUUAGCCUCUUAGCCUCUCAUGGUUUGCCAAUAAUCCUUGGCUUUCUUUACUUGUAACUGAAUAACUCCAAAGUCAGCUUCUGUCUUCACAUGGCCCUCCACCUCUGUCUGUAUCUCAAAUCCCUUUCAUUAUAUAUAUAUAUAUAUAUAUAUAUGUGUGUGUGUAUAUAUAUGUAUAUAUAUGUGUGUGUAUAUAUAUUUGUAUAUAUUUCUAUAUAAUAGCUUUUUUUCAACUUUUAUUUUAAGUUCAGGGGUACAUGCGCAGGAUGGGCAGGUUUGUUACAUCGGUAAAUGUGUGCUAUGCAUUUACUGCACAGAUCAUCCCAGCUUCCAUUAGCUAUCGUUCCUAUUGAUCUCCCUCCUCCAAUCACCCCCCUCCAGAGGUGCCCAGUAUGUGUUUCCCCCUGCAUAUGUCGAUGUGUUCUCAUCCUUCAGCCCUCACUUAUAAGUGAGAACAUGUGGUAUUUGGUUUUCUGUUCACGUGUUAGUUUGCUGAGGAUGAUGGCUUCCAACUCCCUUGAAUUUGUCCUUUCAGAUAAAAGGACAGCUUUUCUUCAGCUUGUAUGUUCUUGAGGAUGUCACAUAGCAAUCUUCAAGAACAGUUGUUUUUUGACAGGUGCCGCUUGGAAAGGUGCUCACUCAUCAUGGCAGGAGAAAUCAUGAAGCAAAAUGACAGCAAAGGUAAUGCCUAUGGAGAGCACUUUAUAAUCAUUACACAAUUUCCUCAGGGAUAAGAGAGGACAAUGAACACUGGACACAAAUAACCAAGAGGAGCAAAGAAAUUAUCAGCUCAAGAAAUAGAAAUCUGAACAAUCCUAUGUUGGGUUUUACAAUUACUGCUUUACCUCCACAUAAAUGCAUUAAGGAAAAUGCUACUAGAAUUUUUGGAUACAUUCUACUUGAGAUUAAAUUUGUUUCUGAGAAGCAUAAAUGAAUAAUACUGCUUCUUGUGCAUCUCCAACUUGGUCCUUACAUUCUUUAACAAGCUGUCUCCUUGCCAGAGAUGCUGUCCUGCCUGGGGAGACAUCUAGCAGUAAUCCACUUCUCCAAGUGAAAACUCACAAAGUAUUUAGGAAUCUAGUACAUACUCAGUUCCACACCGCUGAAAGACACAAGUGUGGUUUCUGAGAGGCAGAGUAUUUCUUGCUAGAGACAAUGGAUUUGCUUCAAAAGUAACAAUACAAUAUAGACGUUUUCAGCGGACCACCUCUGAUUUGUGACUAUCAUAGAAACUUUACCAAGAUGUUUGUCAUCUGAACACCAAUAAGAUUAACCAUUGUAAUAGCUCCUAAGAUUUCUAUCAUGAAUUUGACUGCACAUAUGUAUUGUUCAUCCCUAAAUCCUGGACUAGCAAAGCGCGGCACCACCUCACUGUUUGGCACAUGAAUUAACCUAAACCUACCAUAUUCUGAACCAAAGGUUUAGAUGUGUAAACCUAAACCCUAAAUCUAGACCACAGAUCAGAAAGUUACAGCCUACAGUACAAACCUGGCCUACUGCUAGUUUUUGUAAGUAAAGUGCCAUGGAAACAGAAUCUUGUCCAGUCAUUUAUAUGAUAUCUCUUGAUGUUUCUGAGCUACCACAGCAGAGGUGAGUAGUUAGGAUAGCCUACAAAGCCUAAAAUAAUUCUUGUUGGGUACUUUACCUAAAAAGUUUGCUAACUCUCCAAAUGCUCAGGGAAAACUUAGAUAUCUGAGCAUGAGAGGGAACAACUGAAUAUGUUAAUAGAAUGAGAAAACCUUAUCAAAUUCCUAAAUAUUAGCAAAAAGAACAGUAUUGCCACAUGAGAUUACCCUGAGAAGUAUCUUUCUAAACAACUCUGAGCUUUAAGUCAAUUUUUAUAUUGUAUUUUCUCAUUUCCCUACUAUUUAUUUAGAAACUACUAUAGGCUGGUUCUGUAACUACAGAGAUGACAACAUAUAGAUCCUCAAUGGCCUCAGGGGAUAAUGGUAACACAGAUAUAUGAGUAAAUACCUACAAUGCAGUAGUGCAGUUUUCUAGCUACUGGAAUGUAUAAAGGGGAAAGUGCUGAAUUACCAUGGCAGAGAGAGCUGUGAAUGAGAGAGAACUGUUCACAUGGAAUACACUAGACAACCUCAGAUUUGCAAAACAGUAAUGGUGUGAAUGAAGUGAUGGGUGAUUCCUGGCAGAGGGAAUAGCAUAAGGAAAGAACAUGCUGUGGUUCGGGAAAACAAAAUAAUUGGGGAGUAUAUUAGGCCAUUCUUAGAAUGCUAUAAAGAAAUACAUGAGGCUUGGUAAUUUAUUUUACAAAGAGGUUUAAUUGGCUCUCAGUUCUGCAGGCUGUACAAGCAUGGUGCCGACAUCUGAUCAGCUUCCGAGGAGACUUCGGGGAGCUUUUACACAUGGCAGAAGUGAAAGUGGAAGCAGACAGGUCAUAUCGUAAAAGCAGGAGCAAGAAAGAAUUGGGGGAGAGGUGCCACAUACGUUUAAAUGACCAGAUCUCACGAGAACUCACUCACUGUUGUGAUGACAGCACCAGACCUUGAGGGAUCCACCCCCAUGACACAAACACCUCCACCAGGCCCCACCUCCAACAAUGGAGAUUAUAAUUCAACAUGAGAUUUCAGUGGGGACAAAAUUCCCAACUACAUCAGAGAGUAAGAGAGAGUAAAGAGAAUGGCAAAAGUUGCUACUGGAGAAGAAUAGCGGUAUCAAACCAAAAAACAUCUUACCUUAUAUGCUGAGAGGUUUGGACUGUAUUCUAGAGCAAUAUUUCUAAACCUUCCAUUGUAUCAUUAAAGUUAUGUUUUUUUUAAAGGAAAGUGCUGUCAUAAUGCCAUCUACAUGGCAGAAAAAUAUUCUAGGGGCUGUUUGGAAAAUGUAAAUGGGAGAUAAACACUUGAAGACAGGAGACCAGCUAGAUAGUUUCUGGAAGAGCUAAAGGAAACAAUAACAAGUCUCUGAAUUAUGGCAAUAUCCUUAGGGGAAGAAGCCAUAGGUUUGAGAGAUAUUUCUUAGGCAAAACCAACACAGCCUAUUAGACAAGAUAGAGAAAGUGAGGUAGAGAAAGAGUCAACUGAAAAUGAUCUAAAGAAGAGCAACAGGUUAUCAAGGAUUCUUUUGUCCAAAUAACCUUGUGUCCAGGAGUGUAAAAUGCUGAGGGAAUACGACCCUGAUUAAACAGUUUUCACUAGAGGCAAAUAGAAGCAAAGCCAUUGUAAUGGACCAUCCAAUGGACACAACAGGGAGGAAAGCUGAGAUCCCAACAUGGCAGCACAGGAGCCUGCAGGGACUUUGAAAUGAAGGAGACAGAUUUCAAAAAGAGGGCUGUGAAUGGCAUCAGAGAAAUCCUUCUCCUAGUUUACCUAAAGUCAGGUUUCAGCAUAGUUGAAGAAUUCAGAAGAGGUAGAGCAGUAAACACUCCCUAAACUUUGUCCAAUAACAUAUAGGUUACUCAAAAACAGUUUUCCAAGUGAAAAAAAAAAUAGUGAUGGUAAACACUAACAAUUGGUACUUAAUAUGUGAUCUUUUAAUGUCAAACCAUCAAUGGUGGUAAAAUUUUUAAAUCGUUUACUUAAAAACUUUCCCUGAGGUGAAAAGCAAUAUUUAGUCACUUGAUUAAAUAUGUCAACUACAUAAAUGUAUUAAAAAAUAAAGAGCAGCCAGUAACAACUGCUAUUAUUUUGUUAUAUUCCUUUUUAUGCAUAAACUAGUUUUUAUCUAAUGUUUUACUUUCCCAUAUUAUAAAAUACAGUUUUCCCAUAUCCUCCAGUUUAACAUUCUUUUCCUUAUCUUUCAAACUAAAAUUGGCUCAAACAUCAACUUACUUACAGUAGGAAAUCUAAUGAAUGCUCCGUAUACUUCUGGAAAAUCUUUAAGAGUUUAUCUUUUUCCAGAACAAACAGUUGCUGCUUCCAGUGAGUUACUGAUGCCUUCUCUGAAUUUUGCCACUCUUGGGCACAUGGUUUAUUCCAUACUAUCCUGCUCUAAACAGCAGCUGAUAAAUUUAUUUACCAAUUUACCAGCUCAAGACUGUGUGACUAUAUACUUUACUGAAGAUCUAAUACAAUAGAAGGCAAUUAUAUUGUUGGUCAGUACAAUUAAAGAUGUAAAAUUGAAUAUUAGAUGUUCCCCCUUCUUAAAGCCCUCUCAACCAUCAAGGUAUUUUAUUAAUCCAAAACCACUCUCUUCCUUGGAGGAAUUCUACUGCCUGUCCUUAAAAUAAUAUUUUUACUACCAAUAUAAGGAUAAAUAAAUCCUAUUUUCAUAGCUGAAGAACAUUUACACCAUAGCAUCAGAAAGAGAUAAAGGAAAAGUGUAACCAUAAGCCAGCAAGUCCAGUAAUUGACAUUUUCAUGAGUGUUUUGGAAGUACCAUAGAAAGACAUUUAGCUCAGCCCAGGUGAGAAGGAGGAUCACUAGCUGAUCACCCCAAAGUUGAGUUUGAUUAAAUAAAUAGGAUUUAUUUAUCCAGAGAAGUGAAGAGGAGGUAAGAGGACUAGUAAGGCAGAAAGAUCAGGGUAAGCAAAGACUCAAGAGCAACAGACAGCUUGAUGUUUCCACGGAGCUAAAAUCAGCUAGGUCACACUAGCAUGGAGAGGUCUGGGAGAGGAAGAAAGUGGAGAGGUCACAGAAAGUCUACCAUGUCAUGUGAGGGUGUCUACGCCAUUUGCUGAGAAUGGGCAACCAUUGAAAAGUUUUGAGAGAAAGCAACAUGCUUGCACUCUAGCUGCCUCAACCUCAUGGUGUAUGGAUUUGAGGAAGGCAGGACUGGAGGCAGAUUUUGAAAGUGAAAGCAAGAGCUAUUUCAGAUGAGGGACACUCCUGAACUGGAGCAGCAGUGACAUAAAUAGAGAGAAGUCAAAUUUAAAAUAGCUGGGGAUGUACAACUGACAAUGCUUCGUGCAUGAAUGGGUAUUCAGAAAAAAAUUCCUCUAAGACAACUGAUGGAUGGGAGGAAUAAAUUUGACAACAUAGUAGAUGAAUUUUCUUUCUUGGUCAGUAGCCUGCAAAACUGCCAUGGAACAGACUUUUUUUUGCUUCCGUCUAGGAGACUGAGAUCAAUUUUAUUUAUUUAUAAUCCCCACAGGGCAUUAUGACAUCCUUUUCAACCAUUCUAAAAGUCAUUUCUCACUUAGCGUUAGAUUAAAAAAAAAGAAGAAGAACUUUUAGAAGUUGAUAUGAGCGGGGUAACCAUGGAUAGGGUAUACGCUUUUCCUUGGACUUUCAUUCUUAAUCCUGACUAUUCCUGUGAUAGCACAAGGCAUUCAUGCUGCCAGGCAUCCCAGGGAUGACCCAACAUAGUUAAAAUACUUUUAUUCUCUCCUGGCUUUUAUCACCUCUAAUGGGACCCUAACUUACAUAUUCUCUUUCAUUCUUCAUUAUUUUUUCCAGGAGAAGAUACGCCUGAAGCACUUUCUGUGCUCAUACAAUCUCUUCUUUCAACUUUAUAUCUCUCUGAGAAAGAACUUUUAUAAACUAGGUUAUGUAAGAAUAUCUCAGAUGUAAAUGCCGAUAGAAAAGAGAGGUACAGCAACCUGGGAAAACAACCUUUAAAAAUACCCACUGUAGCUUCUUUGUAAGCAUGAAGCUGGUAUCAGAUUCCAGUGUAAUUACUCAGCAAAUGCCCUUUUGAGAAAUGGAACUCCUCAAAACUUACCAUCACAUAAAAGAAAACUCAAAGUGAAUAAUACCCAGAAAAAUGCAAAUUAAGACAAUAAGACAUGACUGGCAAACGUUAGAAAAAUAGAAAAAGUCAAAUGUAGAUGGGAAUUUGCAGCUCUAGGAGGCAUCUGCUCUGCUGGAAGUGUCAGCUAGGCAGCCAUACUGGAAUACAAGCUGGUAUAUGGACUUAGUAAAUACACACUGACCCUAUGACUCGGCUUGCAUAAAAUGUGUGCAUAUCCCCAACUCAUACCACAGGCCACUCAGCUCUAUAUGAAGCACUGCUUGUGCCGGUAGGGAAUCUAGAGGAACCUGGAUGUGUAAAACUGUCAGUGGAUCAGUAAAAUGUGGAAUGCAAUUAGAAAAAGAAACAUAGAUGCACACGUUAUUCAGAUGAAUAUUGAGAACAGUAUUUUCGUGAAAAAUGUAGGUCAGAAAAGAUGUAUAUCAACAAUAUUAUUUACAUAAACUAAAAUACAUUGCACAUAAAGCAAUGUAUGUUUUGCAAGAACAUAUGUAAUAAAGACAAAUUAAACACACUAAGUACUUAGCUAUGCAGAAGAAGUUGUAAAAUUUGAAUUGGGCCAGGAAAUAAAGGAAAAUAAACACUUUUAUGUCUAAACGGUCAUUUUUCUGAUCUUUUGCAUUUUUCUAUCUUUGAUUCCUGAUUUCCCUUCACUUUUCUUUUUCUGUCUCUAUUCUACCAACAGUUUCUUUCAAAUUGAAAAAUAAAACUUUGAAGAAAACAUGUGCUCAAAAUGUGGAAAUAGGCCGGGUCCAGUGGGACACACCUGUAAUCCCAGCACUGUCGGG